GGCGCCUAUGACAGCCUGUUGGCUUUUACCUGGUCUGCGAGAAAUCAAACUUUGGGCACAAGUCAUGAAGCCGACAAGCCCGGGAGACACAGUGUCAGAAUUACAAGGUGAGAUCAGCCGCCCGGCCAAGCUAUUUUCUCGCUAGCAGUUCGGUUUCCCUCCAGAUCAUCAAGCCUCCUCCCGCCCAGGGGGCCUCCUGCUUUCCUAAGCUGCUGUGGAACCGGCCUGAGGUCCCAGACGCUGUCCAUUGUGCUGCUGCGCUCUGCUUUCUCCAGCCACAGUGCCAGUUCAUCCGCUUUUGGGAGAACUCCGCCGCCUGGCCUGCCCGCGGACAAGGUCACAGCUUUGCAGGGGGGUGACAUGGGAUAUGGCUUCUUGGAAAUGUCACCCUCACCAGCGCCUUUUAGAUGGAUGUGAAUUUUGAGACAUGAGG
rnacentral:lncRNA from 1 species